CCAGACUCCUACGGGAGGCAGCAGUGGGGAAUAUUGCACAAUGGGGGGAACCCUGAUGCAGCGACGCCGCGUGAGUGAAGAAGUAUUUCGGUAUGUAAAGCUCUAUCAGCAGGGAAGAAAAUGACGGUACCUGACUAAGAAGCCCCGGCUGACUACGUGCCAGCAGCCGCGGUAAUACGUGGGGGGCAAGCGUUAUCCGGAUUUACUGGGUGUAAAGGGAGCGUAGACGGUUAUGCAAGUCUGAAGUGAAAGCCCAAGGCUCAACCAUGGGACUGCUUUGAAAACUGUACAGCUAGAGUGCAGGAGAGGCAGGCGGAAUUCCUAGUGUAGCGGUGAAAUGCGUAGAUAUUAGGAGGAACACCGGUGGCGAAGGCGGCCUGCUGGACUGUAACUGACGUUGAGGCUCGAAAGCGUGGGGAGCAAACAGGAUUAGAUACCCCUCC
rnacentral:rRNA from 1 species